rnacentral:ncRNA from 1 species
CCGAGAACUUCAUGCCAAGUUAGCAGCCUCCACGGGAAACUGUGAAGUGAAAACCGGGUGAAUUCAGGGAACCCCAAAUCCGCCUCCGGCGGAUGGGCAAUCCUGAACCAAGCCGUGCGAUGAUCAUGGUGAGUUUAUCGAACCAUAAAAGGCGCGCGGAAGGUGCAGAGACUAGCGGGUGACGACAAGAAUAAUCCCGCAAAUAGCGCCCGGCACCUAAAGCUGAAAAGCAAUGGUGAUGAUAUAGUCCGAACCUUCGGGGAAACCUGAAG